UUCAGCCCGGCCCCGGCUCAUUGUGCUCGCCUCACGCCGGCCCGAGUUGGCGGCAGCGCUGGAGGUCCCGGGCCUGUGACCACAAAGAGGGAGCCGGGGGCCAGACGGGAGCGCGGCGGCGGCCCCGGCUGAGGCCCAGGCCAGGCCCCCUCCCCUCAGCCGCCAGCCCGCCCGCCUGACCCGCCCCCGCCGGCGGGCGUCCCGCCCCUCCCCCAACCGCCAGACUAGCCUGGUGCGGGGGCCGCGCGCGAAGACGUGGGGGAGAAGUUGGAGCUGAAGCUGGAGUCGUCCGUGGGGGCCGAGCCCGCCGUCUACGCGUGGCCGCUGCCGGUCUACGCUCAAAGAUUUGGAAAGAGAUAGUUAACAGAAAAGGAAUGCAUGAAGGAGAAAUGGAAUCUCUUGCAUGAAUUUCUGCAGACAGAAAUAAAGAAUCAGUUAUGUGACUUGAAAACCAACCUACCUAAAGAAGAAUUAUCAGAGGAGGGCUACCUGGCUCAAGUCAGAUCCCUUUUAAAUAAAGAUUUGUCCUUGGAGAACAGAGCUCACGCUUUCAGUCGGGAAGUGAACGGCUGUCUAGAAAACGGGAGCCAGACAAGUGGUGAGGAGCGCAGAGUGGAAAUAGCAGAGAAAAAGAAGUCCCCCAAACCUGUUUCCAAACUUUGCAUGCCCAGGAGAAGCAAGUCCGAUGGAGAAACCAACUCCCUGCCAAACGGAAACCUGAGGAAGACCCUGAAAAAGCAAAAUCAGAUGAUUCUGUCGAUGAAGAAGAAAAAGACCAG